rnacentral:lncRNA from 1 species
UUAUUCUCAAUGGUAAUAUAUCAUACAUUAAUUGUCCAAAAAGAAAAAGACACAUAGUCUCCAUCCAGAAGUUGUGUCAUUGGCAAUACAAACACAUGCAUGGCUGUAUAUAUUUUUGUCAAUAUACACAUCACGUACGCAUCGGGUGAUUUUUGUUCUCCAUGUCAUCUCCUUGAUGUGAGGACAUCCCAUAGAUCAUAAUUCUUCUCGCACACGUCUCCAUAGAUUGUAAUUCUUCUCGCAUGCGUCUCCGGCUUCACACUGCCAACAACAGCUUAUACAACAUAUCUCAUUGUCCGCAGCGGAUGACCACUUCCCUCGCUUCUAUCACGAACGGGUUGCCGUCAUUUCCGACCAGCUCAAAUCACACAUGUUUGGACAAAUAGCUCCCCUGUAAAAGUAACAAUCUCAUAAGCAUCAUCAUACGUAUUCCUAACUAUCUUUUUGAUUUUGUAGUUCAAUGACGAAGUCUUCCAUGGCAUACAAAACCUUUUGUCAGAUCAAUACUACUAGUAGAGGAAAGGAAAUAACAAUCGAGGCAAGAGUAUCAAGACUAUGGGAUUCCAUAUUGAUCAGUAAUGGUGAAAUAGUUAGUCUAGACAUGGUCCUUAUUGAUCAAGAGGUAUUAUGGUUCUCUCAUAGAAAUUGCAUCCUUUCUUGAAUUAUUUUGAUAAUUUAGCUUCAAUAUACAUGCUAAUUACAAAUACAAUUGAAGGGGACAAUGUUGCAUGGAGUUAUCAAUAAGGCAUAUAUCGAAAAGUUAAGGUCAUUUAUUCAAGAAGGCAAUGUGUACCUCAUUAAAAAUGUGAGUCAUUCCAGCAGCAGCAAGAUUUCGACCUGUACAAAAUGAUAUGAUGAUCAACUUCUUGCCCACAACAAAUAUAGAGGAAAUUGAAGAUAAUGAAGACAUUUCAAAGCAUGGUUUCAACUUUUCAAGCAUGGAGGUACUCUCCCAAAGAGUAAGCAUUGACACUUUUCUCUCAGGUAUGAUAUCAUUGAACUUUUUAGAUACAGUAUGCAAUAUUUUUUCAUGUCAUGUAUAGAAUGCCAUCUAAAUUCAUGUGCUAACAGAUGUUAUUGGAGUUGCAGCACACAUAGGACCAAUUGAAGGAACUAAAACAUAUCUUGGGGUCUCGAGAAUCCGUGAUAUUUUCCUUCUAAUUGAGUAAGCCAAAAAUACAUCUUAUUUGCAGCCAAGGUGCUCAUGUCAUGUCUUCACAAUUGUUCUACUCUUUGUUGACAGAGACGAGGAAGUGAAAGUUAGAUUAUGGGGUGACAAAGCUGAUCUAAUUGAUGUGAAGUCAAUAGGGAAUGUCAUUAUAAUUACAUCAACAACAGUGAGGAAAUUUGGCAGUAUGUCUUCUUUCAAAUUUUAAUCACUUAUUUUAUUAUCUCUCUGCUCGGCUUUACAUAGGAAAAUUAUUAUCUGAACCACUAUGCAGGAUAUUCUCUAUCGUCAAAUAGUGCAACUCAAGUUUUUAUAAAUUUAGAUAUUCCUGAGACUAUGGAUGUACAAAACAGGUGAGUGAAAUUCCUACAAACAUUGCCCUUUUAAUGUCAAUGUGAGUACUACCUACCCUGGCUCAUAACUUUGUCUCCAAAUAGCAUUUGUUCCAAGGAAAAAAUUAUCAAAGAACUACAUGUUGAGGAGAACCAUCUAAAAGGUACACUAGAGCAAAUGCGCUACAAUAGAGAAACUUUAGAAGAGUUAAAUGGCAUUCUGUUAGACUCAUCAAAUGAGGUUCGUAAUCGAGUGAUAAUAAUGAAUUGUUUUUUCCCAAUCAUAAGCAUAGAUAUAUUUAUAUUUACUCUACAGGGAAGGAUAUUUACCGUGGAAGCAGUAAUUAAUGAUGUUUAUACAAGAUAUGGUUGGUACUACAUAUCAUGCAGCGAAAAUAAUUGCAAGAAGCUACUUGAAAAGAGAAUUGAUUGCUACUAUUGUACCAAAUGCGAUGGAAAGCUCAACCCAAACCACGGUAAAGAGUUUAACAAAUCUCUAUGACUCUAUCUUAAUAGUUUUAAUAGAAUAUUUUUAAAAUAAAUUCAUUAAAUAUUUUGCAGAUAUAAGAUUAAGCUUCAAAUCAGUGAUUCGACUGCAUCUGCAUCUUGCGUACUUUUUGAAAAAGAAGCUCAACAAAUAAUUCAUGAGUCGGCAGAAAACAUGGUUGCAUCAAUUUGUAAUGAAAGUGACAAGCUUCCAAAACCAAUCCAAGAGAUUUGUGGUCAGACUGUAAUUUUUCAAUUUAGAUUGACAAACUACAAUUUCACAAGUUGUAGACCAGACUACACAGUCUCAAGACUAUUCUUUCUAGAGACCGGUAGUUCAUCUAUGAAGAGUGACAACAAAGAAACGGUAUGAUAUUUACUGAUUUUCCUGCAUUCCAUUAUAUUUCUCAAAGUUAAUAUUUGCGUCAAAAUUGAAAAAAAUGGAAAAAAAACAACGUUCCUAAUUAUCUGUAGAUUACACUCCCUUAUGCAUCAUCUAUUUCAUAAUAUACUAUAUUUUAGACAUAAUGGAACUGACCUAAUCUUCUGAUGCUUAUGUAGAGUAAGCCGAAGAAUUUUUCAAAAGAU